rnacentral:lncRNA from 1 species
ACUGCUCACCAUUUCUGAGCCGAUGAGGACUCACCUGGGCUCCUCACUGGUCAGGGAACUGUGGCCCAGCCGCAGAGUGAUUGCUUUGUCAAGAAGGGAAACAUUUACCUUUCCUUCUUCCCUCUGCUCUCUCCUAAUUAACAAUUAAAUGGAAGGAGUUGAAAAGACAUGUCAGAGACUUCAAUCUCCUCCCGGCCUGAGGAUGAAGGGGGCUCGAACCUGAAUGUUCUCUUCGCUGUGGCCAGAACCUAGGGGGCUGGGGUUGCUGCCAGCUCGACUGGAGGCCUGCUUCCAGCCCCAGGCUGUGGUGAGGGGCCUCACAGAUUUCACAAACAGGAGGGCGGCUGACCAAGCGCCAAACUAUUUAGACAAACACACACCCUCCCUUCCCGCCAGAGUUUGGGCUGAUUUCUCCCAAUGCUAAUGAACAGCUCAUAAGUAUUAAUAGACUCCUUGGCACCUAGGAGUCAGGCAGAGUAACUUCCAGUGUGAAUUUUGGCCAAGGACCCUGAUGCAGCCUCAGGAUCUUCCAAGCCCCUGUUGAGUCCAGGGGGCAUGAGACACACAGGGAGGCUGGGGCUGCUCCCAGGAAGCAGGCUCACAAGAGCCAGACAGGCUCCCACAGACAGCUUUUAGGUCACAGAAACCUCUGCCUGCCAGGUAGGCAUGAACACAGAAACCCUCCCAAAUCCUCAGACUGUGGAGCACACUCCAGGUGAGCCAGGAUCAAUCCCUGGUCUCAGAGAACACUUAGAUGGGGGUGAAAAGCAGGAACUGAGAGCUUCCCACCCAGCACCUGUCCCUGCUACCAGCUAAACCUGUGUCGGUCAGUGCAGGAAUUGUACAGGUGAUGCUCUGAGCCUGUGCUGAGGCCAUGUAUGGACUGAGGAAACCUCACUGUGUGUAUGUAAAGUUAAUUCAAACCUAUUUCCCUGAGUGCUUACAUAUUUUCAUAAGGAAAGUUCUGUUAGGAGAGCUGCCUGAAACAACACCUCUGCCUGUGCUCCCACUUUCUCCCGCUGGUGUGGGGAGGAGAGGCUGACAUCGCUGGGUCCACGUUCCUCUGCCCUGGGUGGGGUAUUAAUGCUGCCAUUCCCACGCUGCCUGCUGUUUCCCCUCAUCCUCAGGAGGGCUGGUCUCUGUGCUGCAGGCAGCUCCACCAGGCCUGGGAGCAUGACACCGUCUGCCAAUGCCUUGCCCAGGUCCACUGGCCUCACCCUUCCGCAGGCCUGCGCCUUCUGUGACUCUCUGCCUCAGCAAUUUCUCUGGAUUUCUUUGUCCUCAGGAAUGUGCUGGGGCCACAGGCAGGUCAGGCCAGGCUUUCUGGGGAGUGAAUGCUCUCUGCCAGUGGCGGAUGGAACUGGUAGACACGUCCCCCGGAUUCCUCGCCUGCAAGUGGGAUGGUGCCAGGAAAGUUCUACACCAUCCUUCCCAGGUCCCAGGAGGACAAGCACAGUUGUCCACAAGGGAACCAAGAGGAUGUUGAAAAAUCCUGGUUGGAUCUGAACUUGGAAACAAAUUUGAGGAAUCUAUUUUACUUAAUCCUACUGAAAAAUUCCCUAAUGAGUUAAAGAAGAACAAAGUAAAAGAAGAUAAAAAAGCAGUUGGUACUUGAAAUGAAGAUCAAAUCAUCAAGUCCUAUAUGUCACCCACAGAUCUGAGAUCACUGACUCCCAGAGACACCCAGUUUCUCAGUGUCAGUACACACUGCCUGGGUUAGUAAGCACAGGCUGAGACCUGGGAGGAAUUGAUGAACCAAAUGUGUCUGGGCUUUUCACUUCCUCGGCAUGAGUCAGCCAAGAAAGCCCACCUCUCCUCCCCAGCAGCGUGCAGGGCCUCUGCAGAUAAAUGUGCAGGAUAGCAGACCUGGGUGUGGUGCUGCCUGGCACUGAGCCAGCCCCCAGAUUCUUUGGCUGCAGAGUGGCCUGGCCAACUCACACAGGUAGCGCCCUUUUAUUCUUGGAAAAGGAAGCACCAGGUGGAAAGGGAGGUUAAAGGAGGGAACACAACUUUUUUCCAGACCCCUCUGCCCAGGAUGUUAAAGGUUGCUGGAAAAUGCCUUUGGUGGCUUUAAAUGUCACAGAUGACAUAUUCCAGGAUGGAUCCAGCCUCCACUGGACUUGGCCCCUCUAUUUUGAUUCCUGCCUUUCCCCAGCCUCAGCCCUGAGCGGCAUAAUAUCUACACGGGGUUAGCUGCAGGUGGAACUCAGAACACAGCUCCUAGACAAGUAGAGUGAGGCCUAUGGCUUCAUCAUCAAAAUGUAAAAUUUAAAUAUAUAAAUGAAUAAAGGCUAGAUAGACACAUAAAUAUACAUACACACAUACAUUUUGUCUGGUGCCAGGACCAAGGCCUUAUUACAGCUCAGAGCUCCACUUUGAGCACUUGAGGGCAGGAGGGGCUCCGAGCUUCUCUCCCCUCAAUGCUGCCGCAGGGUUCCUAAGCAAGGACCCACAUGUGGAGGCUCCUGAUCCCUGAACUGAAAGUCGACUCUCCAGUGCAACAGGUAAACUUGUUUGAGAACGUGGGACAUAACGACGUCUAAACUAUUGCUUCUUGGCAGCAUUGGAUGAUUAGGUCCUCGCUAAGGCUUGCCAAGGCCUGUCCUAGGAAAUGUUCCUGGGCUUGAUUUCAUCCUCACUGUUGAGAGAGUUUAUUCCUUAUAAGGUCCAUCUCAAUUCUCAGGGCACCGCAAGACAACGUAUCUCCCCUCUCCUGUGCAAUCAGUCAAAGAACAUUUAGUCAACCUGAACUGGGAGCACAGCGCUCCUGGGGCUGUUGGGCAUUCAAAAGAGUGUGGAUCAGUGUUAAAAGUGCUUCAUGGAGAAAUGGAGGCCUGAAAGCGACUCUGAAGGAGGAGUGGGGCUCAGCAAACAGCAGACGAGUUUCAAUCCAAGCACCCAUUACCCCCCUAACACACGGCAUACGUGCAUCUCAUCUCCUCCUGUGUCGCUAAGAAGCUACCCAUAUGUCUGUCAUUAAUUCUCCAGAAUCCUUGGACACACCCCUCUGCAGAGCUUUCUAACAGGAAAUACAAGUCUCAGAUUUUUUUUUAAGUUAAAAUUGAGUGCAGCACUCAUACCUUUCUUCGAGCAUGAACCGUCAAUCAACACUGCCUCAUGAGCUACUGCUCUCCUGCUCUUUGAAAAGACAAAUCCUUAUUUCUUUGUAGUGAUCCAGAAGGCAGUGGGAAGAAUGACAGGUGCUUGGUUAUCUUCAAUUUAAUCUCUACCUUUCAAUGGGGCUAGUGCAAGCUAGGGCCAUUUUACUGCACCCAAAGGAAUUUAAGACAUUUCUAUUAUCUCUAAAGAAUCCAGAUUAACAUGCCUUCUUGGUGGGCAGGGAGACCAGCUAUGAAUUCUAGGAUCUCAAUUCAAAUGCUUUUGAAUUCUUCCUGCUUGUUCAGUUAAUUACAUAUAUGUCA